rnacentral:lncRNA from 1 species
CAAUUACAAGCAAGUGUCCUAUAAUGUCUUUAUAGCUCAGUUUCUGCACAAAGGCGCAUAAAGUGAGCACGGAAUGAUACUGCUUCAACAUUUGGCUGCUGAUACUUGGUUCCAGCCAGAGAUGUGCAAAAUGCUUGUAAUGAAGCUGCAAACCAUGUGAAAACAGAGUGAUGAGAUCGUGGAUGUAGCAGAGGAGGGCUCCUGCUUCAAGCAGAAAAGGAGGAGCAGACAGCAUCCUUCUGAUUUACCGACAGGCUCUCAAGGGGACAAACCCGUUGGCAUGCUUAGCCCCCUUUGGUAUCUUCGCUUUCAUCAGGAGAGUUCCAGAAAGCAGCUCUGGGAGCGGGUCGUGAGAGGAUAAUCUGUAUGAUCCCACGCAAGGCAAGGAGACAAACAGCUUUGCUCCAGAAGGGAUGUUGGGAGGAUGUCAGUUUUCUAGGCACUGAUCAUAUGGAAAGUAAAUAUUUGAAACAGAAGAUUAAAAUGCUCGAAGAAGAAACCAUUGGAACAAAGGAUUGUUGGCUACCAAGCAACCUUGUUGCAAGUGAGAGCAUACAGGAAGGCUAUUUGCUCCGUGCCCGCUUUUCCUGUGGGGGAAUGCGUUCGCCUUUCCCAGCUCUCUGAGCAGAACCUUAAUCCAGGUUCCAUGCACCAUGUUUAGCUUACAGCGAUAUUAAAU